rnacentral:rRNA from 1 species
UAGGGAAUCUUCCACAAUGGGUGCAAACCUGAUGGAGCAAUGCCGCGUGAGUGAAGAAGGUCUUCGGAUCGUAAAGCUCUGUUGUUAGAGAAGAACACGUGCUAGGUAACUACUAGCGCCUUGACGGUAUCUAACCAGAAAGUCACGGCUAACUACGUGCCAGCAGCCGCGGUAAUACGUAGGUGACAAGCGUUGUCCGGAUUUAUUGGGCGUAAAGGGAGCGCAGGCGGUCUGUUUAGUCUAAUGUGAAAGCCCACGGCUUAACCGUGGAACGGCAUUGGAAACUGACAGACUUGAAUGUAGAAGAGGAAAAUGGAAUUCCAAGUGUAGCGGUGGAAUGCGUAGAUAUUUGGAGGAACACCAGUGGCGAAGGCGACUUUCUGGUCUAACAUUGACGCUGAGGCUCGAAAGCGUGGGGAGCGAACAGGAUUAGAUACCCUGGUAGUCCACGCCGUAAACGAUGAGUGCUAAGUGUUGGGGGCUUUCCGGCCCUCGGUGCUGGAGCUAACGUAUUAAGCACUCCGCCUGGGGAUUACGACCGCAAGGUUG